AGCAGCCGCGGUAAUUCCAGCUCCAAUAGCGUAUAUUAAAGUUGUUGCAGUUAAAAAGCUCGUAGUUGAACUUCGGGGUUCACCCAUUGGUCAGGCUUAAUUGUCUGUACUGGUGAGAUGAGUCUCUACCUUCUGAGGAACUUUCAUGCCAUUUGUUUGGUGUGAUGGGAAAUCAGGACUGUUACUUUGAAAAAUUAGAGUGUUUAAAGCAGGCUAACGUCUGAAUACAUUAGCAUGGAAUAAUGAAAUAGGACGGAUUGAUUCUAUUUCGUUGGUUUCUAGGGUCACCGUAAUGAUUAAUAGGGAUAGUUGGGGGCAUUAGUAUUCAAUUGUCAGAGGUGAAAUUCUUGGAUUUAUUGAAGACUAACUACUGCGAAAGCAUUUGCCAAGGAUGUUUUCAUUAAUCAAGAACGAAAGUUAGGGGAUCGAAGACGAUCAGAUACCGUCGUA
rnacentral:rRNA from 1 species